AUGGCUACUGCUUCUUUAAAAAGAUGGUUUUCUCUUGAAGCUAAACCUGAUAUCAUGAACCAAUGCCUUUCUGGUCUUGUUCUUCCGGAGGAUCAAGCUAGGUGCGAUGACAUUUAUGGAUUGGAUGAAGAGCUUUGGGAAAUGGUUCCAAAACCAGUUCUUGUUGUGUUUUUUUAUCUUCUCACCAAUAAGUAUGAAGAGGAAAGGUUGCAACAAAAUAAGAAGAAAAAUCAUAAAUCAGAAGUAAUAAUCCCACUCAAUAAAACAGUGGGAAUGAUCAGAAAAUACAAAGGAAAAUAUCAGGGAAAAUAG